AGAGUUUGAUCCUGGCUCAGGAUGAACGCUAGCUACAGGCUUAACACAUGCAAGUCGAGGGGAAACGAUAUUGGAAGCUUGCUUCCGAUAGGCGUCGACCGGCGCACGGGUGAGUAACGCGUAUCCAACCUGCCCAUCACUUGGGAAUAACCUUGCGAAAGUAAGACUAAUGCCCAAUGACAUUUAUAGAAGGCAUCUGAAAUGAAUUAAAGAUUUAUCGGUGAUGGAUGGGGAUGCGUCUGAUUAGCUUGUUGGCGGGGUAACGGCCCACCAAGGCGACGAUCAGUAGGGGUUCUGAGAGGAAGGUCCCCCACAUUGGAACUGAGACACGGUCCAAACUCCUACGGGAGGCAGCAGUGAGGAAUAUUGGUCAAUGGGCGAGAGCCUGAACCAGCCAAGUAGCGUGCAGGAUGACGGCCCUAUGGGUUGUAAACUGCUUUUAUAGGGGAAUAAAGUGAGCCACGCGUGGUUUUUUGCAUGUACCCUAUGAAUAAGGACCGGCUAAUUCCGUGCCAGCAGCCGCGGUAAUACGGAAGGUCCCGAGCGUGUCGGAUUUAUUGGGCGUAAAGCGAGCGCAGGCGGUUUAAUAAGUCUGAAGUUAAAGGCAGUGGCUUAACCAUUGUUCGCUUUGGAAACUGUUAGACUUGAGUGCAGAAGGGGAGAGUGGAAUUCCAUGUGUAGCGGUGAAAUGCGUAGAUAUAUGGAGGAACACCGGUGGCGAAAGCGGCUCUCUGGUCUGUAACUGACGCUGAGGCUCGAAAGCGUGGGGAGCAAACAGGAUUAGAUACCCUGGUAGUCCACGCCGUAAACGAUGAGUGCUAGGUGUUAGGCCCUUUCCGGGGCUUAGUGCCGCAGCUAACGCAUUAAGCACUCCGCCUGGGGAGUACGACCGCAAGGUUGAAACUCAAAGGAAUUGACGGGGGCCCGCACAAGCGGUGGAGCAUGUGGUUUAAUUCGAAGCAACGCGAAGAACCUUACCAGGUCUUGACAUCCCGAUGCUAUUCCUAGAGAUAGGAAGUUUCUUCGGAACAUCGGUGACAGGUGGUGCAUGGUUGUCGUCAGCUCGUGUCGUGAGAUGUUGGGUUAAGUCCCGCAACGAGCGCAACCCCUAUUGUUAGUUGCCAUCAUUAAGUUGGGCACUCUAGCGAGACUGCCGGUAAUAAACCGGAGGAAGGUGGGGAUGACGUCAAAUCAUCAUGCCCCUUAUGACCUGGGCUACACACGUGCUACAAUGGUUGGUACAACGAGUCGCGAGUCGGUGACGGCAAGCAAAUCUCUUAAAGCCAAUCUCAGUUCGGAUUGUAGGCUGCAACUCGCCUACAUGAAGUCGGAAUCGCUAGUAAUCGCGGAUCAGCACGCCGCGGUGAAUACGUUCCCGGGCCUUGUACACACCGCCCG
rnacentral:rRNA from 1 species